GACGAACGCUGGCGGCGCGCCUAACACAUGCAAGUCGAACGGAGUCAAGAGGAGCUUGCUUUUCUUUAGUUAGUGGCGCACGGGUGAGUAACGCGUGAGUAACCUGCCCUGGAGUGGGGGACAACAGUUGGAAACGACUGCUAAUACCGCAUAAGCUCACGGAUCCGCAUGGAUCUGCGGGAAAAGGAGUUAUUCGCUUCAGGAUGGACUCGCGUCCAAUUAGCUAGUUGGUGAUGUAACGGCACACCAAUGCGACGAUUGGUACCCGGACGGAGAGGUUGAAAGGGCACAUUGGGAAUGAGACACGGACCAGAAUGCUACGGGGGGGAGGAGUGGGGGAUAUUGCACGAUGGGGGAAAACCUGAUGAAGCGGCGCCGGGGAGAGGAAGAAGGUUUUCGGAUUGUAAACUCCUGUCGUAAGGGACGAUAAUGACGGUACCUAACAAGAAAGCACCGGCUAACUACGUG
rnacentral:rRNA from 1 species